rnacentral:piRNA from 1 species
UUACAGAGCCGUAAACAUUGAGGCUUUGUU